UACGUAGGGUGCAAGCGUUGUCCGGAAUUAUUGGGCGUAAAGAGCUCGUAGGCGGUUUGUCGCGUCGGCUGUGAAAACCUGGGGCUCAACCCCGGGCCUGCAGCCGAUACGGGCAAACUAGAAUUCGGUAGGGGAGACUGGAAUUCCUGGUGUAGCGGUGAAAUGCGCAGAUAUCAGGAGGAACACCGAUGGCGAAGGCAGGUCACUGGGCCGCAACUGACGCUGAGGAGCGAAAGCAUGGGGAGCGAACAGG
rnacentral:rRNA from 1 species